UUGAUCCUGGCUCAGAAUCAACGCUGGCGGCGUGCCUAACACAUGCAAGUCGAACGCGAAAAUCCCGCAAGGGAUCAGUAGAGUGACAAACGGGUGAGUUACACGUGGGUGACCUGCCUUCGAGCGGGGGAUAACGUCCCGAAAGGGACUCUAAUACCGCAUGACAUCCUGCCUUUGAAGAGGUGGAGAUCAAAGCUGGUGAUCGCAAGACCUAGCACUCGAAGAGGGGCCCGCGCCUGAUUAGCUAGUUGGUGGGGUAACGGCUCACCAAGGCAACGAUCAGUAUCCGGCCUGAGAGGUCGGACGGACACACUGGGACUGAGACACGGCCCAGACUCCUACGGGAGGCUGCAGUGGGGAAUUGUUCGCAAUGGGCGCAAGCCUGACGACGCAACGCCGUGUGGAGGAUGAAGACCUUCGGGUCGUAAACUCCUUUCGAUCGAGACGAAUGGUCUCCGGGUGAACAAUCCGGAGAAGUGACGGUACCGAGAGAAGAAGCUCCGGCUAACUCCGUGCCAGCAGCCGCGGUAAUAAGGU
rnacentral:rRNA from 1 species